rnacentral:rRNA from 1 species
GACGUAGGGCGCGAGCGUUGUCCGGAUUUAUUGGGCGUAAAGAGCUCGUAGGCGGCUCAUUGCGUCAACCGUGAAAUCCUGCUGCUCAACGGCAGGUCUGCGGUUGAUACGGGUGGGCUGGAGUUCGGUAGGGGAGACUGGAAUUCCUGGUGUAGCGGUGAAAUGCGCAGAUAUCAGGAGGAACACCGGUGGCGAAGGCGGGCCUCUGGGCCGAUACUGACGCUGAGGAGCGAAAGCGUGGGGAGCGAACAGG